GCCCAUCUACCUGUAUGUAUGUGGUGUGUGUAGCGUUCAAUAAAUACCUGUAAAACGUUGCAUAUCAGGUGUAUGGAAAUAUUAAGGGGUUUCCUCACUAAACAGCAAUUAGUUAAUUGAAAAACAAGCUGUAAAUCAUCUGUUUUAGUAUACAAUUUGCAACUCAGAGUUCAAUUCACUGUUUAGUGAAUAAACCCUUAAGCCUUUAUGAGCUUUUCAAAAAGAU